rfam:Pseudomonas sp. G5(2012) strain G5 PG5_94, whole genome shotgun sequence.
CCCCGAAAAGCUUAAAUCCACACACGUGUCGACACGAUGACCUGGGUGCCGCAAGCGAAAUGCUGGUGGUUGGUCAUUGGGAUACGUGGAGGCCAAAC